CUUUAGUCUAACAGACCACAAGGAAGUGAAUCCUGCCAACAACCACGGAGUAGAUCUAGAAGUGAAUCUUCCUUCAUCAAGCUUGCAGAAAAGACCACAGCCCUGAUCCAAAGUUUGGUUUCAGUCAAGCUCAUGAGUGACCUUGAGCCAGAGAACUCAGUUAAGCCAUGCCUGAAUUCCCAACCCACAGAAAUUACAAUGGAAAUGAUGUUAGACAAAAAGUGAAUUCAGCAGUUUUCUUAUUUGAAUUCAAAAUGGGUCAUAAAGCAGUGAAGACAACUUGCAACAUCAACAAUACAUUUGGCCCAGGAACUACUAAUGAACCUACAGUAUAGUGGUGGUUCAAGAAGUUUCAUAAAGGAGACAGCCUUGAAGAUAAGGAGCACAGUGGUCGGCCAUUGAAGUUGACAACAACCAGUUGAGAGCAAUCAUCGAAGCAGAUCCUCUGACAACUACACGAGAAGUUGCCGAAGAACUCAUCGUUGACCAUUUUAUGAUUGUUCGGCAUUUGAAGCAAAUUGGAAAGGUGAAAAAGCUUAAUAAGUGGGUGUUAGGAUCACCUAAGCAGACCAUUCCCUUCCCCUCCCACAGGCCUUACAAUACAGUCUCUUGCGCUCUCCACACAGUCACCCCAGGGCAAAAGACAAACCCCCCACUUCACUGACCCCUCCACUAACUGUUUGUCCAGGCAGUUACAGGAUGCCAUUAACGUCUGUUCACCUCACAUAACAAAGCUGGCAAAAAACAUCUCCAGGAUGCGGACAAGACACUUGCAUCCCCGAAUCAGCUCCCCGACCCUGACCCAGUUCCUCAUCCUAUAAAGCCCUGCUGUAGUCUGUAAGUGUGGCUGCCUCCUCUGCUUUUGUCAGGAGGUAGCCCGGCAGGACUGACAAUAAAUUAGCUUGCCUGAACUUGGGUCUAUUGGCCUCAUUCCUUUCUUGGCUGUCCUUCCAAUUAUCCCUUACAGUGGGAGCCUCAUGAGCUGAG
rnacentral:lncRNA from 1 species